GUGGGGAAUAUUGGACAAUGGGCGCAAGCCUGAUCCAGCCAUGCCGCGUGAGUGAUGAAGGCCUUAGGGUUGUAAAGCUCUUUCGUCAGGGAAGAUAAUGACGGUACCUGAAGAAGAAGCCCCGGCUAACUUCGUGCCAGCAGCCGCGGUAAUACGAAGGGGGCUAGCGUUGCUCGGAAUCACUGGGCGUAAAGCGCACGUAGGCGGCUUUCUAAGUCAGGGGUGAAAUCCUGGAGCUCAACUCCAGAACUGCCUUUGAUACUGGAGAGCUUGAGUUCGGGAGAGGGGAGUGGAACUGCGAGUGUAGAGGUGAAAUUCGUAGAUAUUCGCAAGAACACCAGUGGCGAAGGCGGCUCACUGGCCCGAUACUGACGCUGAGGUGCGAAAGCGUGGGGAGCAAACAGGAUUAGAAACCCUGGUAGUCC
rnacentral:rRNA from 1 species